GGCCUAACACAUGCAAGUCGAGCGCAGUCCUUCGGGACCGAGCGGCGGACGGGUUAGUAACGCGUGGGAACAUACCCUUUUCUACGGAAUAGCCUCGGGAAACUGAGAGUAAUACCGUAUAAGCCCUUCGGGGGAAAGAUUUAUCGGGAAAGGAUUGGCCCGCGUUAGAUUAGAUAGUUGGUGGGGUAAUGGCCUACCAAGUCUACGAUCUAUAGCUGGUUUUAGAGGAUGAUCAGCAACACUGGGACUGAGACACGGCCCAGACUCCUACGGGAGGCAGCAGUGGGGAAUCUUAGACAAUGGGCGCAAGCCUGAUCUAGCCAUGCCGCGUGUGUGAUGAAGGUCUUAGGAUCGUAAAGCACUUUCGCCAGGGAUGAUAAUGACAGUACCUGGUAAAGAAACCCCGGCUAACUCCGUGCCAGCAGCCGCGGUAAUACGGAGGGGGUUAGCGUUGUUCGGAAUUACUGGGCGUAAAGCGUACGUAGGCGGAUCAGAAAGUUAGGGGUGAAAUCCCGAGGCUCAACCUCGGAACUGCCUCUAAAACUCCUGGUCUUGAGUUCGAGAGAGGUGAGUGGAAUUCCAAGUGUAGAGGUGAAAUUCGUAGAUAUUUGGAGGAACACCAGUGGCGAAAGCGGCUCACUGCUCGAUACUGACGCUGAGGUACCGAAAGUGUGGGGAGCAAACAGGAAUAGAUACCCUGGUAGUCCACACCGUAAACCGAUGAAUGCCAGUCGUCGGGCAAG
rnacentral:rRNA from 1 species